GACGAACGCUGGCGGCGUGCUUAACACAUGCAAGUCGAACGGUAAGGCCCUUUCGGGGGUACACGAGUGGCGAACGGGUGAGUAACACGUGGGUGAUCUGCCCUGCACUUUGGGAUAAGCCUGGGAAACUGGGUCUAAUACCGGAUAGGACUACGCGAUGCAUGUCGUGUGGUGGAAAGCUUUUGCGGUGUGGGAUGGGCCCGCGGCCUAUCAGCUUGUUGGUGGGGUGAUGGCCUACCAAGGCGACGACGGGUAGCCGGCCUGAGAGGGUGUCCGGCCACACUGGGACUGAGAUACGGCCCAGACUCCUACGGGAGGCAGCAGUGGGGAAUAUUGCACAAUGGGCGCAAGCCUGAUGCAGCGACGCCGCGUGAGGGAUGACGGCCUUCGGGUUGUAAACCUCUUUCAAUAGGGACGAAGCGCAAGUGACGGUACCUAUAGAAGAAGCACCGGCCAACUACGUGCCAGCCGCCGCGGUAACAC
rnacentral:rRNA from 1 species